rnacentral:rRNA from 1 species
GUGAGGAAUAUUGGGCAAUGGGCGAAAGCCUGACCCAGCCACGCCGCGUGAGUGAUGAAGGCCUUCGGGUUGUAAAGCUCUGUGGGGAGGGAAGAAAAAGCGGGAGAGUAACUGCUCACGUGUUGACGGUACCUCCUUAGCAAGCACCGGCUAACUCUGUGCCAGCAGCCGCGGUAAUACAGAGGGUGCAAACGUUGCUCGGAAUUACUGGGCGUAAAGCGCGUGUAGGCUGACAUGCAAGUCGGGUGUGAAAUCCCAGGGCUCAACCUUGGAACUGCACUCGAAACUGCACGUCUUGAGUACUGGAGAGGGAAGCGGAAUUCCGGGUGUAGAGGUGAAAUUCGUAGAUAUCCGGAGGAACACCAGUGGCGAAGGCGGCUUCCUGGACAGUAACUGACGCUGAGACGCGAAAGCGUGGGGAGCAAACAGGAUUAGAAACCCGUGUAGUCC